rnacentral:RNase_P_RNA from 1 species
AGUGAGUUGGGCAGUUGCGGGGCGCUUUUGCGCAACGAGGAAAGUCCGAGCUUCAUACAGCGGGAUAACGGCUAACGGCCGCCGAGGGUGACCUUAGGGAAAGUGCAACAGAAAGAAACCGCCGUUUUACGGUAAGGAUGGAAAGGCGAGGUAAGAGCUCACCGGCGUGCAGGAGACUGUACGGCCAUGUAAACCCUAUCCGAAGCAACACCGACAGGAUAAGGCAUUUUGCCCGUGUCAGCUGGGCACGUAAAUCCGAAAGGUGGCUUGAGCCUUUGGGCAACCAAAGGCCUAGACAGAUGACUGCCUUCAAAGACAGAACUCGGCUUACAGAUUCACUCA